rnacentral:rRNA from 1 species
UACGUAGGUGGCAAGCGAUACUCGGAAUCACUAGGCGUAAAGGGCGCGUAGGUGGCCAACUAAGUCAGACGUGAAAUCCCUCGGCUUAACCGGGGAACUGCGUCUGAUACUGGAUGGCUUGAGUUUGGGAGAGGGACGCGGAAUUCCAGGUGUAGCGGUGAAAUGCGUAGAUAUCUGGAGGAACACCGGUGGCGAAGGCGGCGUCCUGGACCAAUACUGACACUGAAACGCGAAAGCCAGGGGAGCAAACGGG